rnacentral:lncRNA from 1 species
CCCGCGCCGAGCAGGUCGUCGGCCGCGGCGCCGUCGUCGGCCCACAGGGCCUCGACCAGCGCGUCAAAGGCCGCCGGAUACGAGCGCGAUUGCCCUCCUCUGUCGUCUCGGGGCAGAGGAAGGCGGUCGUGCCGAUCGCCGGCACCCUGCCAGGAGGGCUCGCGCCCCGGGGCCAUCAUCGCCGGCUCGCUCGCUCUAUAUGACCGCUCACUCGUCCCACCGGCGGUUCGCCGUUGUGUUGUCGUUGUCGUGUGCGUGCGCGUCUAUUUGUUGCGCGUGCAAUCCCGCCGGCCUGCCUAUGCCUCUGGCUCUUUUGGGCUUUUGCGUGCGAGUCUCGAUCCGAGAAUAGACUCUUUUCUG